UACGUAGGUGGCAAGCGUUGUCCGGAUUUACUGGGCGUAAAGAGCGCGCAGGCGGUCAGAUAAGUCGAAUGUGAAAGCCCCCGGCUCAACUGGGGAGGGUCAUUCGAUACUGUUCGACUCGAAGGCAGGAGAGGGAAGUGGAAUUCCCGGUGUAGUGGUGAAAUGCGUAGAUAUCGGGAGGAACACCAGUGGCGAAGGCGGGUCUCUGGGCCGAUACUGACGCUGAGGAGCGAAAGCGUGGGGAGCGAACAGG
rnacentral:rRNA from 1 species